rnacentral:lncRNA from 1 species
AUGAGCAAGUUCAUGAAAACCUGGGAAAGUGGUGUUUGUCCUGGCCAUACACUACCCUGGAUGCAAAGCCGUCAUUGUGAAGAACAUUGAUGAUGGCACCUCAGAUCGCCUCUGCAGCCAUGCUCUGGUGGCUGGAAUUGACCACUAUCCCUGCAAAGUGACAGCUGCCAUAGGCAAGAAGAUAGCCAAGAGGUCAAACAUCAAGUCUUUUGUGAAAGUUUAUAACUACAUCAAAUCAUCUACUGCCCACAAGGUACUCUGUGGAUAUCCCCUUGGACAAAACUGUUGUCAGUAACGAUGUCUUCAGAGAUCCUGCUCUUAAACGCAGGGCCCGAAGAGAGGCCAAGGUCAAGUUCCAAGACAGGAACAAGAUGGGCAAGAACGAGUGGUUCUUCCAGAAGCUAUAGUUUUAG